GCCCACCUCCCGGCUGCCGGGAACGAACGCGGAAACCCAGGCGCGCGGGGAGGGGAUCCAGCCCCUGGGGGGACGAACGGGGAAACCGAGGCGCGCGGGGCGGGGAUCCAGCCAACAGGGAACGAACGGGGAAACCGAGGCAGGCGGGGCCGGGAUCCAGCCAUCAGGGAACGAACGGGGAAACCGAGGCAGGCGGGGCCGGGAUCCAGCCCCUGGGGGGACGAACGGGGAGACUGAGGCGGGAGGCGGGGCCGGCCACGAUCCCUACACCCAGAAAUCUAGCUCCGGGAAGGAGGGACACCUAGGCGAGGGGUCGAAAACUCAACCACAACCCUGCGUCCCGAUCCGGGCUGCGGACUGAGCCAGGAAUCCAGCCCAGGGAGGCGAGGAGACACGGACAGGGAAACUAAGGCCUGAGCAUCGACGAGGGAGGGGACGUUCUUCUUGGAGGCAGAGGAUGGCGGAAAUUAAAACUGCCCGAGCCUUCCUUCCACCUGCCCCUCCCAGCCCUGGAGCCUCGGCUAGGCAACCCCUUCCCCUGCUUAGCCUCAGUUUACUCUUCUCUAAAAUUAGGCCUGGUGGCCAACGUGGUGGCUCACGCCUGUAAUCCCAGCACUUUGGGAAGCCAAGGCCAGUGGAUCACUUGAGUCCAGGUGUCUGAGACUAGCUUGGGCAACAUGAUGAAAACCCAUCUCUAAAAUAAAAAGAAAGGGCCGGGCGCGGUGGCUCACACCUGUAAUCCCAGCACUUUGGGAGGCCGAGGUGGGCGGAUCACGAGGACAGGAGAUCGAGACCAUCCUGGCUAACACAGUGAAACCCCCUCUCUACUAAAAAUACAAAAAAUUAGCCGGGCGUGGUGGCGGGGGCCUGUAGUCCCAGCUACUCGGGAGGCUGAGGCAGGAGAAUGGCGUGAACCCGGGAGGCGGAGCUUGCAGUGAGCCGAGAUCGUGCCACUGCACUCCAGUCUGGGCGAGGAGCGAGACUCCAUCUCAAAAAAAUAAAAUAAAAUAAAAUAAAGCAAGAGGGAGGCUGGGCACGGUGGCUCGCACCUGUAAUACCAGCACUUUGAGAGGCCAAGGCCAGUGGAUCACUUGAGGUCAGGAGUUUGAGACCAGCCUGGCCAACAUGGCAAAACCCUAUCUCUACUAAAACUACAAAAAUUAGCCGGGCGUGGUGGUAUGCACCCAUAGUCCCAGCUACAUGGGAGGCUGAGGCACAAGAAUCGCUUGAACAUGGGAGGCAAAAGUUGCAGGGAGCCGUCCACUUCACUCCAGCCUGGGCCACAGAGUAAGACUACUCUGUCUCAAAAAAAAAAAAAAAAAAAAAAAAAAUAGCCAGGCACAGUGGCUCACGCCUGUAAUCCCAGCACUCUGGGAGGCCGAGGCGGGUGGAUCAUGAGGUCAGGAGAUU
rnacentral:lncRNA from 10 species